rnacentral:rRNA from 1 species
GAGUUUGAUCGUGGCUCAGGACGAACGCUGGCGGCGUGCUUAACACAUGCAAGUCGAACGGAGCACCCUUGAUUGAGGUUUCGGCCAAAUGAUAGGAAUGCUUAGUGGCGGACUGGUGAGUAACGCGUGAGGAACCUGCCUUUCAGAGGGGGACAACAGUUGGAAACGACUGCUAAUACCGCAUGACGCAUUUUGAUCGCAUGGUCGAAAUGCCAAAGAUUUAUCGCUGAAAGAUGGCCUCGCGUCUGAUUAGCUAGUUGGUGAGGUAACGGCCCACCAAGGCGACGAUCAGUAGCCGGACUGAGAGGUUGACCGGCCACAUUGGGACUGAGAUACGGCCCAGACUCCUACGGGA